AUCUAACAAGAAAUCGGAAUUUAUGUUUUACCAAGUCAAUUUAAUCACCCCUUUAAGUAAACAGGUCUAUAUUUUUCAUUAUAAUGCGAUGUCCGACCUCUAAAGCAUUUGUUUGACGCCGAGUUUCUUAAAAAAUCAUAAAAGAAAAUCCGGAUAGAAACGAUUGUUGAAAUCAUUCGUUCAUGUAAGCGUUUGUAUGAUUUUGAGUGCAAGUUUAAGAAAAGCGAAUGGCGCAUCGCGGCUUAAAACGGAUACGAUACGAUCAUGGUUUGUAAAUCCCCACUCGCUAAGAUUUGCGAGUGUCCACUAUUUUUACUCGCUAUUUUUCAAAUCUACUCGCAAUUUGCGAGUAUUUCUCGCUAAUUUCGAGCCCUGAUGAACAGCAAAUCGUUUAAGCUUUGAACUGAUACAGGCAACUUUCUUGAACUUGGACGUGUCAAAUACUCGGGACAUGUCGAAGUGAGCCGCUAGUUCCGGUCAUUAUUCUGGAAACCUCGAGUAUCUCAUGCAGGAAAACUGCGAAUACUCCGUUUAAAAUUUCAGUCCUAAGCACAAUAUUUACCUGAUUUAUAUCACAAUCGGGCAAAUUUUUCACAUAAUGGUAAACAAGUGGUAGAUUUUCCUUUCCGAUCUAGCAUACCUGGCACUUCUCAAAGUUUGUCGAAAUUCACACCUUCAAAUACACCGGCCUUGAUUCCCUGAUCCUUGAUUUUGUUAAAUAAACAACAACUUGGGUUUUAUUAAUUAACCACACAUGACCCUGCAUGUUGACAGAUUGGGUAUAAUAAUUCAGAGGGCCUACUAAACAAGAUCACCGCCAAACUAUGCGUUAUAAAACGAAAGUGUUAGGAGCGAUAAUUUCCAAAAUAGUCGUGCGUUUGAAAACGAAAGUGUUAGGGGCGAUAAUUCCCAGAAUAGUCGGCUCAACCGAAAUUGAAAGUAGUAAUCGCGGUGUAAUCAAAAAAUGUACAGUCGUUAAAUAGAGGUGAAAAUACAUGAAAAGGUUGUAAAAAUCAUGGUCGUUGGUCGUGUCAGACAGGUACAAUAUAUAGAGUAACGUCUUGGGGGGAAACUUUUUAUGGUCACAUACGACAGUGAGUCGCUUAAUUAAUACAGUGGGUCGCUAUGGCAGUUUUGACUGUAUUCAUGUUGAUAAUAAAUGAAGAGCGAAUACAUAACUUACAACCAAUUUUAUGAAUAGAUACCAAUAGCAACAGAAUUCGAAUUGACCGGCUACCUAACAUGGCUACGUCAACAAACGAAAUCGUUUGAAGCUGCGAGUUUUUCAGGUCGUGUUUUGCUUUAAUGAAUAUUUGAAGGUAUGUUUGGACACACGUAUAGUAGGAAAACAUGUUAAGAUUCUUAUAUUGAAUUAAUGAGACAGCAACACAAGAAUACACCGAUAUCAAGCCUCAACCGUGCGCAGCUUUUUGUGCCCCGUAAAUCGAAGGUUUUUAUUAGAGGUGGAUCUGUGGCUCUCUGUUCUGUCACAAUAUUUUUUUCCAGAGAGCUACAGUUCUCCAGCUAGGCCUAGUAAUUUUUUAGUCUGUCCAUCUUAUCUGAUCACCUGAAUCCGCUCGAGCAAGUGGGCGAGCUGUAAUCUGCCAAUGAAAACUCUUGUUGUAUUACAUCAAACAUGUCAUUCAAACUGUUCAAUUGUCUCAUUCAAUUGUGUCGUCACACAACGCAAUACUAUAUCGGGUAAAGCGUUCUAAUUCAAAGGUGAAUUGCGAUAAAUCACCAUCUUGUGACGUGGUGUCAUACAGAGUAUGAGCUUUAGUGUAGUGAGCUACCUUAAAAUGUAGAAAAUUGUUCUCUAGAAUUGUAGACUUUUUAAAACAAAUUAUUUAUAUAUAUAUAGAUUUUCAUAUGUCCCAUGAUAAUGAAAAUAUGUUGUGUAAAAGAUUAGGAAAUCUAUCUAUCCAAUGUUCUAUGGGACUAAUCCUAGAUCAUGUGGAAUGUCAGAGUAGUCUCAGGUUGUUGGUCACAUCAAAUGAAACUAAAUUUGAUUCUUUGUUGACUUUCUCGGGAAUUGUGUAUAGAAGAUCUACUGUACCUUGAACUUUACUAACGUAUGGUUUUAAUAAUGCAUCUUAUAGAUAACUAAUUCUGUUCAGUUUCACUUGUAGGUCCCGCAACUAUGGGUCUGAUUUUGAGGUCUGCUGGGCCUUCAACACUAACAUAUGAUAAUUCAGAAUUUUUGAAAUGAUCAUUAAUGACCUGGUUUUUACGUAUUUUGGACAAACCAUAGAAAUGACUGGUUUUGACAUUAAAUGAGAGUCCGGUAUUCGGUGUCUUUGUCCGUAAGUUUCUGUCCAUACUUCUCGAGAAUUUUUUCGAGUUUUUUUCAUGACUUAAUUCCUUAUAAUCAUAUGAUUACAUGUUUUCUUUUUUUCAUAGUAUUCACUAUUUUCUAAUACAGAAAGACAUGAUGAUUUAUAAUAAUCGGGAUCCAUUAUAACUACUGCACUACCUUUAUCGGCUUCCUUAAUAGUGAUGCUUUUGUCAGUUUUAGGUUGACCUAUGUCGUCCGUUGUGCUUUAACAAUUGAACAUUUUUAACUUCUUCCUAAUAACUACCAUUCCAAUUCUUUUCAAAUUUGGUAUGAAGCAUCAUUAGGACAAGGGGGACAUAAAUUGUAAAUUUCAGGACUCCAGCACCCCAGAGGCCCUAGGGGUGGGGCAAAAACUGCCCAAAAUUGACCAAUUUUCAAAAAUGUUCUUCUCAAUAACCACACAUGUGUAAGAAAAACUAAAUACUUAAUGAUGUAGAGCAGGAAGGCCAUCCCUGGGGUAGGGGUUCUGACACCAGGCCGGGGCCAAACUUGUUAUAUAGUGUUUAUGUGUAAAACACUUGAAUUACAUCUUCUUUAGUGCUAUUGAUACUAAA